ACCCUAUUAUAUUAUAACUAUCUAAGGUAAUAAAAAAUCUUUAAAACCUUUUUCAAAUGGCGGCAUUUCAUCUAACUAGAGGAAUCUAUAACUUAAUCGACAACCCACGUUUCAUUUUACUUUUUUUAAAAAUUUAUAUACCGCCAUCACUUAACGAACUAAUCUAAAAAUAUUACUCUAAAUAAUAAAUAAGAUAAUAGGUCAAGGUGUAAUCCACAUAAAAGCAGAAAAUGGAUUACAUUUAAUAAAAUUAAUAAAUUWUUUUAAAAUAUUAAAAUAUGAAAAAGGAUUUAAUUAGUAGUACAGUUAAUAAAAAUAAUAUUACUAUAUGAAUAAGAUAAAAAAUGUGCACACAUCGCC
rnacentral:rRNA from 1 species